GCUUUCGUGGUGUAAUGGUCAGCACACUCGGCGCGUAUCCAGAAGUCCGUGGUUCAAGUCCAGACGAGGGCA
rnacentral:tRNA from 1 species